AACGAACGCUGGCGGCAGGCUUAACACAUGCAAGUCGAGCGAAGACUUCGGUCUUAGCGGCGGACGGGUGAGUAACGCGUGGGAACAUACCCUUUGCUACGGAACAGUCCCGGGAAACUGGGUUUAAUACCGUAUACGCCCUUCGGGGGAAAGAUUUAUCGGCAAAGGAUUGGCCCGCGUUGGAUUAGGUAGUUGGUGGGGUAAAGGCCUACCAAGCCGACGAUCCAUAGCUGGUUUGGGAGGAUGAUCAGCUAUAGAUCGUC
rnacentral:rRNA from 1 species